GCUGACACAUCCGGCCAAUCUCCAGCAGACCCUCCCUUCCAGACCCUCCCACCUCCUGGACAGCAUCCAUGUUGAAGCUGCCUUCAACAUGGCCUGCCUUCAACAUGGAUGCUGUCCAGGAGGUGGGAGGGUCUGGGAGGGAGGGUCUGCUGGAGAUUGGCCGGGAUGUGUCAG